CCUACGGGAGGCAGCAGUGGGGAAUAUUGCACAAUGGGGGAAACCCUGAUGCAGCGACGCCGCGUGAGUGAAGAAGUAUUUCGGCACGUAAAGCUCUAUCAGCAGGGAAGAAAAUGACGGUAACUGGCUAAGAAGCCCCGGCUAACUACGGUCCCGCAACCGCGGGAAUACGUAGGGGGCAAGCGUUAUCCGGAUUUACUGGGUGUAAAGGGAGCGUAGACGGCCACGCAAGUCUGGAGUGAAAUCCCAGGGCUUAACCAUGGAACUGCUUUGGAAACUGUGCAGCUAGAGUGCAGGAGAGGUAAGCGGAAUUCCUGGUGUAGCGGUGAAAUGCGUAGAUAUUAGGAGGAACACCAGUGGCGAAGGCGGCUUACUGGACUGUAACUGACGUUGAGGCUCGAAAGCGUGGGGAGCAAACAGGAUUAGAUACCCCAGUAGUC
rnacentral:rRNA from 1 species